AUUAAUUGAGAAAUUUAACGUUUUCAUAAAUAUUGGUGAAAUUAGCUCAAUUAGCAUUGUCACCUGUCGAAUUAACCUGAUGAAUGAAGUUUCCCAUCAAUUUAAGUUUCUAUUGUAUAAAGAGUUGUUGAUCGGAUAAAAUAUUAUUUGGGAAAGGUUUGAUCGGUUUGAAUAUCGAAUUAUUUCUAUUAUCAAAAAUUUUAAAUUGAUUUGUCAAUUUAACGCUAAAGUAGAAUUUUUAUCAAAGAAUUAUUCCAAACAAACUAAGGUUGCUAGCUCCAUUGAAUGAAUUGUUAAAGUAAGAUCGAGAUUUUAAUUGGACAGCGGAUGUUGAAAUAACAUUUAAUAAAUAAUUAAAAUCUUAACAUCUGAUCUGGUGUUACAUAUCUUUGAUCCUGAUAAAGCAGUAAUUACUAUUACUUUUAAAUCCAAUGUUAGUAUUGGGGCUGUCCUUAAACAAAAGAUACUGAAUUGGAUGAUGACAGAGAUAUGUUAACGGUUGGGUAUUUCUUUAGAAGAUUAUAACAGUAUAAGAUAAAUUAUUCUGCUUUCGAAAAUGAAUGCUUAGCUAUAGUUGAAUUAUCAACAUACGGGCAUCAUUAAAUGUAUUGAAAAGAAUUAAUAAUUCGAACUAAUCAUAAGUAUUUGAAGUUUUCAACUCAAUUUUACAUCCUCAACCAUAGAAUUUUGAAUUGAGUUUUGGGGCUAAAGUCAAUACAAUUUUGAAGUUGUAUCUAGAAUGUCUAAAGCAAAGCAGUUCUAAAGAAAAUAAGGUUACUUCAUCAUCUCGGCUCGGCAGCAGAGCUAUCUAAGAUAAAUUCAUAUUGAUUUUAUUGGAAAUUUUAGAGAGUUUUCUCUUAAUUAAGGUAUUUUCAUGUGACAAUAGACACAUUUUCUUGAUACGUUUGGGGAGUAAUAUCUAAAACCCAAAACGUAAGUGAUUUUCAACGGUCAAAUAAUAAAAUAAAAAAAAAAACUUAGUUCUAAGGCUAGAAGGUCCAUUAGGAAAUUUUAAUUUGAUUUGUCCCCACCCACUGAUGUAGUGAAAACCGUUUGUGAAUCAUGAAGAUAUUGUUUACAUAGAAAAUAUUGAUCUGGUAAAUUCAAAUGAGUUAGUUCCUGAAGAAUCCGAUGAAGAAGAGGAAGACAUACAGUAAGAACAAUCAGAGUUAGAAGACAAUUUGAUCAAAAGAAAUUUUGAAUUAGUUCAAACACCUGUAUCUCCACUUCCCUCAACGACAUCAACUUCAAUUUCUAACCAAAUUUAAACACGUCACAACCAACUAGAUUGGCGUUAAUGAAUCAUCUGUUUACCAUCAUAAAUCUCCAAUUAUAUGAAUCUAUCAUGUCCCAAGAUAAUAAUAAUCGAAUAAACAACAACAUAAAACAAUCAAAACAAAUGUUAAAUUUUCAUCAAGAUUUUGUUUCUUCCAUCAGUAGUGAAUUCAGUAGUUGUCAAUGUAUAUUAAUCAAAAAUAUUUUGCUGUAUCGUACAGUCAGCAUUAUAUUUCCUCUUUCCUUUCCUAUUCACACAAAUUCGCCAGUAUUUUUGUUGAUUUUGAAAAAAAAGAAACAUCGACUUGUUUACAGCUUACGUCUAUGCACAGAUCAACAUUCAUCUUAAAUCAUUAUAAAUGGUAAUCAAAGGACACUCGUGUGAAGUUUUACAAGAUGGCUAAAGAAACGAAGAAUAACCGUUUGGUCUUUUGACAUCUUUAAUGAAAUAUGUUAUGAUGCAGUGUUAAAUGUGUUUGAUGUAGUGAUUUUAUCAUUAAUAGUUGUAUCAUCGAUGAUAUUUGGUGCUUUCAUCAAAAACCGAAUACAAAUCUCUGAUCAAUCAAUAACAGAGAUAGAAAAUAGAAGAUUUGUCAAAAGAUUCAUGAAGAUAUUCAUGGAUUGAUUUAACAUCUAACAACGAACUAAACAAAAUAGAAUGUGUCUACGUAACCAGAUUCUUUUCAUCUAUAUUCAGUGCCAGUAUUCUACAAGCAGAAUGAAGUAUCAUUGAAGUAUUUGAGUGAAAAUCUCCGAAGUUGUUUGCAAUUAAAACCACGAAUGAAGAUAAUUGUUGCUCUAUGAAUACACUGGUCUGAAUUUCUAUUCCCUUUUAAAAGCGUCAGACAUUUUCUUCGAUUUAAUUAAUGAUUAUCAAUCGACAUUUGUGUUCCAUUCAAUUAGUAAGAAGAAUAUUUGUCUAGAAGAUAUAUGGAAUCUUUUUCACUGUUUGGGUCAACGUUUCCUUAUAAGAGUCAAGUUUAUGGAAUUCAACAUGGACGAAACAUCAUUGAAAUGGUUGGUUGAUAACAUAAAAAAAAAAAAAAAAAAAUAUCAUCAUGACAGAAUCUUCAUAAUCAAACCUCAUUGGUCUUCAACGAAAAACUAGCUGUGAAUUAAGUGUGAUUGAAAAAAAAUUUUUUUUUUUUUUUUGCAGUCUAAAUUAUUUAUAAUUAUAAUCAUUGGUUAACAUAUUUGGCACAGAAACUAUUCUUUUUUGUAUUGUAAAGAAACAAUUUAAAUUUAUUGUAUCGAAACAGUUGAAUGUGUUUUAAAUGUUUUACCUUGAUUGACAAAUUAUAUUUGUAAUGAAUUUUCAUUAUUUGAAAAGCGAAUGAGGAAUCAAUGAACGAUUUUCCAACAAACUUACAUCGAUUUCACUCUCUCUCUUCUAAAGUUACUUGAAACAAACUAUGAUGUUUUGAAUUGAAUAUUGUUUUCAACAAUCUUUCAAUUUAAUGGAAUAUGUCCAUUUCAAAUUUCUUUAGUAUUGUUUAUGGAAUCUGUUCCUGAUAAUGGAAAAUAUAACGAUUCAUCACAAUUCACUAUACGUUAUAUUUUGAAAUUAAUAAUAUUGUUGUCAUUGGUGACUACCGAUUUUUGGUCAGUCUAUGAUGAUAAAAUAUAAAUUGUUGGAUACCAUUGAAGAAAUUCUGAAAUCAUUGAACAUUCUCA